GCCGACGUGGGCCAUUGGUAGGUCAGCGGAUUGUCUAUCCGUUCCAUGAGGGUUCGAUUCCCUUCGUCGGCGCCA
rnacentral:tRNA from 1 species